AGCAGCCGCGGUAAUUCCAGCUCCAAUAGCGUAUAUUAAAGUUGUUGCAGUUAAAAAGCUCGUAGUUGAAUUUCGGGAUUAGUAGGUUGGUCGUGCCUCAGGUAUGUACUGAUCUCACUGAUUCCUCCUUCCUGAUGAACCGUAAUGCCAUUAAUUUGGUGUUGCGGGGAAACUGGACUGUUACUUUGAAAAAAUUAGAGUGUUUAAAGCAGGCUAACGCUUGAAUACAUUAGCAUGGAAUAAUGAAAUAGGACGUUCGAUCCUAUUUUGUUGGUUUCUAGGAUUGACGUAAUGAUUAAUAGGGAUAGUUGGGGGCAUUAGUAUUCAAUUGUCAGAGGUGAAAUUCUUGGAUUUAUUGAAGACUAACUACUGCGAAAGCAUUUGCCAAGGAUGUUUUCAUUAAUCAAGAACGAAAGUUAGGGGAUCGAAGACGAUCAGAUACCGUCGUAGUCUUAACCAUAAACUAUGCCGACUAGGGAUCGGAUGAUGUUAAUUUUUUAAUGACUCAUUCGGCGCCUUACG
rnacentral:rRNA from 1 species